GGCGAACGGGUGAGUAGCGCAUCGGAACGUGCCCAGUAGUGGGGGAUAGCUCGGCGAAAGCCGGAUUAAUACCGCAUACGACCCAUGGGUGAAAGCGGGGGACCGCAAGGCCUCGCGCUAUUGGAGCGGCCGAUGCCCGAUUAGCUAGUUGGUGAGGUAAAGGCUCACCAAGGCAACGAUCGGUAGCUGGUCUGAGAGGACGACCAGCCACACUGGGACUGAGACACGGCCCAGACUCCUACGGGAGGCAGCAGUGGGGAAUUUUGGACAAUGGGGGAAACCCUGAUCCAGCCAUGCCGCGUGCGGGAAGAAGGCCUUCGGGUUGUAAACCGCUUUUGGCAGGAACGAAACGGCGCGCGCUAAUACCGCGCGCUAAUGACGGUACCUGCAGAAUAAGCACCGGCUAACUACGUGCCAGCAGCCGCGGUAAUACGUAGGGUGCAAGCGUUAAUCGGAAUUACUGGGCGUAAAGCGUACGCAGGCGGCUGUGCAAGACAGGUGUGAAAUCCCCGGGCCCAACCUGGGAACUGCACUUGUGACUGCAUGGCUAGAGUCCGUAAGA
rnacentral:rRNA from 1 species